UACGUAGGGUGCAAGCGUUAUCCGGAAUUAUUGGGCGUAAAGAGCUCGUAGGCGGUUUGUCGCGUCUGCUGUGAAAACUGGGGGGCUCAACCCCCAGCCUGCAGUGGGUACGGGCAGACUAGAGUGCGGUAGGGGAGAUUGGAAUUCCUGGUGUAGCGGUGGAAUGCGCAGAUAUCAGGAGGAACACCGAUGGCGAAGGCAGAUCUCUGGGCCGUAACUGACGCUGAGGAGCGAAAGCAUGGGGAGCGAACAGG
rnacentral:rRNA from 1 species